UACGUAGGGUGCAAGCGUUGUCCGGAAUUAUUGGGCGUAAAGGGCUCGUAGGCGGUCCGUCACGUCGGGAGUGAAAUCCUGGGGCUUAACCCCAGAACUGCUUCCGAUACGGGCAGACUAGAGGUAGGUAGGGGAGAAUGGAAUUCCUGGUGUAGCGGUGGAAUGCGCAGAUAUCAGGAGGAACACCAGUGGCGAAGGCGGUUCUCUGGGCCUUACCUGACGCUGGAGGAGCGAAAGCGUGGGGAGCAAACAGG
rnacentral:rRNA from 1 species